rnacentral:rRNA from 1 species
UGGGGAAUAUUGGACAAUGGGGGAAACCCUGAUCCAGCAAUGCCGCGUGAGUGAAGAAGGCCUUCGGGUUGUAAAACUCUUUUGUUAGGGACGAUGAUGACGGUACCUAACGAAUAAGCCCCGGCUAACUUCGUGCCAGCAGCCGCGGUAAUACGAAGGGGGCUAGCGUUGUUCGGAAUGACUGGGCGUAAAGGGUGUGUAGGCGGUUAUACGCGUCAGAUGUGAAAUCCCCGGGCUUAACCUGGGAAUGGCAUUUGAUACGGUAUAGCUAGAGAUUGGUAGAGGGUAGAGGAAUUGCGAGUGUAGAGGUGAAAUUCGUAGAGAUUCGCAGGAACACCGGUGGCGAAGGCGGCUACCUGGGCCAAUACUGACGCUGAGGCACGAGAGCGUGGGGAGCAAACAGGAUUAGAUACCCUGGUAGUCCACGCCGUAAACGAUGAGUGCUAGAUGUUGCGUGUAAACACAUGCAGUGUCGCAGCUAACGCAUUAAGCACU